rnacentral:rRNA from 3 species
AAAUUGAAGAGUUUGAUCAUGGCUCAGAUUGAACGCUGGCGGCAGGCCUAACACAUGCAAGUCGAACGGUAACAGGAAGCAGCUUGCUGCUUCGCUGACGAGUGGCGGACGGGUGAGUAAUGUCUGGGAAACUGCCUGAUGGAGGGGGAUAACUACUGGAAACGGUGGCUAAUACCGCAUAACGUCGCAAGACCAAAGAGGGGGACCUUCGGGCCUCUUGCCAUCAGAUGUGCCCAGAUGGGAUUAGCUAGUUGGUGAGGUAACGGCUCACCAAGGCGACGAUCCCUAGCUGGUCUGAGAGGAUGACCAGCCACACUGGAACUGAGACACGGUCCAGACUCCUACGGGAGGCAGCAGUGGGGAAUAUUGCACAAUGGGCGCAAGCCUGAUGCAGCCAUGCCGCGUGUAUGAAGAAGGCCUUCGGGUUGUAAAGUACUUUCAGCGGGGAGGAAGGGAGUAAGGUUAAUAACCUUAUU